CUACACUAUAUUUUAUACAAUACCAUUUUCUUUUAUCUUUAUUUCUUGUUUCGUGUAGUUUUACAUUUACAUUUUCUUCUAUUUUACUUUGUCCACUAAUAGUCACAUGUUUAUUGUGUUGUAAACUAAUAAAACUUGUAGCAUUAAACAGUAAUAUAUUAAUCUUUCAAGUUCAUUUGUUGUUGGAACUUGGAAGGAUAUAUUUCCUCACCAACAUCUAUCAUACACCACAAAUUAAAACCUUGCAAAAUUAAUAACAAUUCCUCAGAAAACUAGUACAUUAAUUAGCUUAAAAUAGAAACAACUUUUUUUUCUUUUUCUUCUUUUCGGUUAGCGGAACUAAAUUAUUAUUGUUUGAUGAGUUCUCUAAAUGUGAAAGCAUAUCUGGUGACAAGCGAAGCAAACGAAGACUUCUCUCCAUUUUAAGUUCUGUGAUACGUUUAACAGUUGCAUUAUAGUUGUUCAAAUCUACAAGUCUAGUUGUGCUUUCAUGGAACUGAAAUUGGAGCUUCGCAAGUUCCUCAUACUUACCAAUCUGUUGAUCUAGGUCUCCAACAUAUACUCCAUUGAUCUUGUUUAGUACAUCCACAGCAAUUUCCUCAACCAAUGCCAAUUCUGUUCUGUACACAAACAUCAAGAAAAAUACAGCACAUGUAAAGAUCUCAAAUUUCACAACGGAAUAAACCAAUCAUAAACAAUUCUAAGUUGCCAAAAUGAUAGACAGUUAGCUGAAUGAGAGGUUGACACCACACUUAAAAGUGUUCAACAUUCAGUUUUCCAUCUCCCCCUCAACCAACCAAAAGCUUUUCUAUCCACUUGUACUUGUCCUGUCGUUGCCGAUCUGAUCGGGACACGCCAAAUGAACACCCUUGGUCAAUAAGACUUUCAACACAAGGAGCCGGUCGAUCAUCACAUUGGAUCACUACUAAAAAAACAAAAAUUAGUGAGGGAAAACAUGAAAUUCCUCUCUAUUUCCGUCACUAAUUUCCCUCCCUAAUUUUGCCUUUCCUAGUAGUGGGAACUUGAACAAGGGUCCAUGCGAUCAUCAUAUCGGAACUUGAAUAAUCAUACAAGUGAGUAUGGUUGUUAAACUUGCGAGUCUAUGAUGGGUUUAUGAAUCUAGAAGGCACAAACGAGUGGAAUCACACAUAUAAUCUUUUUUGAGCUAGAUCGACAUACUCGUGUAGACUCGCGAGUCUAUGAUGAGUUUAUGAGUCUAAGUUUUAUUGAAAAAACAAUUUGUUUCUGAAAAGAGCUCAAACUAAACAAAAUUUGAAAGGAAACAAACUUAUAAUCCUUUUAAUUUCUUUUUCGAUCUCACUCUCAAUUUAGAAACAAAUCUCUCACUUUCACCAAAGAUACAAGAAUUCAGGUCAUACUCACCUUCGCUGACGACAUUUUCUUCUUCCUUCAUCGACGACGACGUUCUCUUGCUGUGUAUCGAAAUAUUGUUGAAAUUGAUGUUGCUAAUAAUGAUGCUCAAUGUGGUGGUAGAGGGAAUGUUGAAUUAGAUGGAAGUUAAGAUAAUCCAAGUUAGGUUACAGUCAAUGAUGAAUAAGGUGUUUUAUCUAGGGAUGAAUUUGAUAUGAUAGUCAGAAUGUUGGUGAAGAUGAUAAUGACGAUGGUUGUCAUUUUGAUGAUGAACAAGAUUUUUACAUAGGCAUUUUAUGAUUUUUGGGUAUAUACAGUAGCCAAUUAGAAAGUAAUUAGGACCUUAUCUACAUACUUUUCUACAUUGCUUGCUCUAAUAUUUUUUUUUUGUUAAAAAGUUUGUUAUUAAGUUUGAAGUUCUAUUUUUUAUGAUAAUUGGUGUUCUAUCAUAAAUAUAUAUGUCAUUUAUGUGUCACUUUAAUAUUUUUUACAGUCAAUUUUAAUUUUUCAUAAACUCAUACGAGUCUACAAGUCAAGUUUAUCAGUCGAGUGUCUACAUACCCUUUUCGAGGCUAUGUAAACUCGCGAGUCUGACAACCUUACAAGUGAGUUUAAACAAUCAUAUCAGGCCUUGACCAAAAUAAAAAAAAUAGUGAAUUGGUUAGUUCCAUGUUCAACAUUGGACUGGUCUGUUCAUUGGAUUAUUAGAAUAUUGUUAUCAAGGCUCAUUUUCACUUAUAAAUGAAAAACUUAAACCAAAAUAAUGACGAAAGAAGUUGAUUGCUAUAAAGUUACCUAUUGACAUUACAAUCCCAACCAGCAUAAUUUGCAGCUUCCAACAAACCAUUCCUCCAUUCUUGCACCUUUAUCUUCCCCUCAAAGUUGUUCUCAUGCUUAGCAAAAGCCUCAGCAUAGCUUCCUCUCUGGUUCCUAACAUCAGAAGGAUCAACGUCAUAGAAAACAGGCACUACAAUUUGCCCUUUCAUCUUUUUAAUUUCGAGUAUUUUCAUAAGCUCUUCCAAACACCAUUUUGACACCGCAUAGUUUUUAGAGAAAACAAUAACGGAGAGCUUGGCUUCUUCGAUGGCCCUAACAAGGGUGGUUGGUAUUUCAUCACCACUAUUAAGAUCAUUGUCUAUAUAGGUUCUUAUAUCUAAUCUUUUCAAAGCACCAUUAAGAUGGCUUGUGAAAUUGUUGCGAGUAUCCUCACCUCUAAAACUAAUAAACACUUCGUGCUUUUCUAGAGGAGCAUUGUUGAAUGAAGAGGAGGAAGAUGAAUAUGACCAUGCCAUAAUAAUGCUAAUGUGUAUUUGACUAUAGUUACUAGAGUAUAUAGGUAAAACUACGAAUAAUCGUUGUUUCCGACAACUCAGGCCUCAGGGUUUGAAUUUUAUGGUUAAUUCGAUGUACGACCCCGGUACUUAUAAUAUUUACAAGCAAAAAUAAUUGGAUGUCCACCCGUGUGAUGCACGGGUUAAUUUUAGGAGAUUUUUAUUGUUUAUGAUGUGAAUAUCUUAUUUUAUUGAAUGAUGAGAAUAUUUAUGAUGUGAAUGUCAUUUUUUAUAGAACUAUGAGAAUAUUUACAAAAAAGAUGGGGUGCAAAAUCGCUCAAAAAAAAGUUGAUGCAAAAUCGCACAAUUAGCAAAAUAUAGGGGGGAAAAGUGCAAUUAAGCCUAAAAAUAAAAAGGAAAUACAUACUUAACUAAUAAAUAGACAUCGUACUGUUCUCGUGAGCUUAACUAAGUUGGUACGAACAAUGCAUUAAUAUAUGCAAGAUCCGGGAUUAAAAUCCAGCCACCACAAAAUAAGAAAAUAGACAACGUACAUAUACGAAUGCAAUUACUUACAAUGUCUUGACUUAUCAAAGUGCCCUUAUUUAUAAAAUAUUAAACCAACUACAAUAUAAAAAAAAUAUAAAAGAGAAAAUAGCGCUUAGAAGACUUUUUUUAUCAGUUCUCACAUUAAUAGUAUAUAUAUAAAGUAAGGUUUUUUAUGCCACGUGUCAUUUCCACGUAUAUUCGCAAUAUUUUUAUUAUUUUUUUAUUUUUUAAAACCAAUAUUUGAUUUGGCAUAAAUAUCUCAACAAACUUUUGAUCUUAUCUAUUAAAUAUUUUACUUACUUUUUCAUUGAUUCCUAAAAUUUUAUGUAACAGAAAUAUCUCAACAGAAAUAACACAAAUUCCUAAAAGUUAAUUUUAUUAUAUAUGUGUUAAUAUUUUUACUAAAUCCAAUUAAUUUUAUCUGUAUGUGCAUCUAUAAAUUAACGAGUAUUUUAUAAUAUGGUAUAUUUUAUUAUGUUUGUUUGUAUUUUUAUUAAGAUAUUCAUCCUAUUCCAAUCCGUGAUAAAUUUUAUUUGCGAAUAACAUACAUAUAAUUUUUUUAUCUUCUUGAAUAUGUCUAACCCGGGCAACGCCAGAUAAAUACACCAGUAGUAAAUAACAACAUAAGAAUUUGAAAAAUAAAAAACCUAUCGUUAUUUUAUGCAAUAACAAAAACAAAACAAAAAUCUUAGAAGACUUCUUAGUUCUCUCAACAGUAAAUCAAAUUUUUUAUAAUUGAGUGUAACUCUAUACUAACCCUAAUAUUCCCACUUGACCUUCGUGUAAUUUGAAAAAACAAAAGGAUUUUCAAAAAUUAAAAAUGAAUCAAGUUUUUAUAUUCGAUUGUAACUCUAUACUAUUCCCACUAUUUUCACAGGACCUUCGUGUGAUUUGAAGGUACAAAAGGGUUCUAAAAAAAUUAAAACUGAAUAAUAUUUUAAUAAUUGAGUGUAAUUUUAUACCAAUCCUAACAAAAACGCAAGAAAGAGAAAAUUUGCAUUUUGUUUUAGAUUUGUGUUCCCUUUUUUUGUUCGUUUUCUGAAUGUGGUUAUACCGGUAAAGUGCAGAAUGUAAAGAUACACGAAAAAGAAUAUAACACCUCGUUUUAAGAGACGUCCACCCGUGCGAUGUGCGGGUCAAUUCUAUAAUAUUUUUAUUGUUUAUGACAUGAAUAUCUUAUUUUAUUGAAUGAUAAGAAUAUUUACGAUGUGAAUGUUUUUUUUUUUUUUUUUAUUUAUAUAGAACUAUGAGUAUAUUUACGAUGUGAAUAUUUUUUGUAUAGAACAAUGAGAAUAUAUAUCAAACUAUAUUUUAUUAGUAUCUCUCAAAGUAUUUUCAUAAACAACAAAACCUAUUUUAAAUUUAAAGAGAUCCAUCUACUGAUGAAAAUAAAAGGCCUCUUGAAUUAAAAAGUUCAAUACUUGAAUUAUGUUAGUUACUAUUGUUGAACCUUGGAGUUUUAUGUGACCGUUACCAUUGUUGUUGAUCCAGUAUUAUAUGUUUACUAAGUGCUGACUACGUGAAAAUUCUCAAACAAAUGGCACACGCAUAAAUUUUAUUUUUCAUAUAACAUGAGAGCAAAAACCAGCACCAUAACUAUUAAUAUUAACACUAAUGUUAAUCUUAAAUUUCUCAUGUUAUGAAUGAUGGAUCACCACUAUUAGAAUCUGAAUUAAUCUUAUUGUGAAUCGAUAUCUCUGUCUUGAAGAACCACCGAACUAUUGUUGAAGAAUUGAUUAAGGUCCAUGAAUCAAAAACUUCUCACUGGAUUUUGUAUUGAGGACAAGAUUGUAUGUGAGAAUGUGUAGAUGUUUAGAUGUUCUUAAUUUUAAUUUUAAAGAAUAUGUAGUGUUGAUUAUAUCUAACAGUUUAUUUUCUAUGCUCCAUUGAUGAGGGAUUCAAUUGCACCAUCACCUUAUAAUCCACCUAUGGUUUUAUACAAAAAAAAAAUUCUAUAAAAAAUGGCUAUGAAAUCAAGUAUAUGAAGUUUUGUAUAUAUUGAAUUUGUGAUGUAUAUAUUAACCAAAUAUUUGUUCCCAUAGAAUAUUCUUUUUAGCAAAACAUAUACAUAUUUGUUUCCUUUUUUAGAAUAAAAUAUUUGUUUCUAUAUUUACAUAAUUAUUCGAUGUAUAUAUAUGAACCAAAGGUGGCAUAAAUUUUUUUUUUUUGGUGUGUUAACCCUCUUGUUCAAAGGGAAAAGAUACCCUAGUAAUUUAGAGUUCGACCGAAAGGUAUGUAAAGCAUGUCCUAACCAAGAAUUGUUGCACACCAUAAAUAAUAUUUUUUUUUUUUUUUUUGUAAAAGAGUCAAUUUUUAUUUGUUUUGAAAUUAAAAAUUUGCUUUAUAGCAUGAAUAUAAUAUUCAAUUUUAUUAUUUAUUUUUUUGAUAGGCAAAGAGAUAGGUGAUACAUCAAGGUAUGUAUGAAAUACAGACCCAUAUCUUACCUACUCAUAAUAUAUUAUUAAAAAAUGGAAAUGGGGUGGGGGACCAAAACCUUUAAAAAUCAAGGAAAAAGAAGAAAAUGAAAUAAAAAAAUAAAUAAGAAAAUUAAAGAAAAGUGGCCAUAGAAGAGAAGGUACUGCUCAACCACCCUUGGGUUCCCCCUUGGAUCGAGUGUUGUACGAAUAAAGUUUACUUUUUGCUUCUUCAUUAAAAAAGGUGUAAAGGGGACGUCCACAUCUUUACCUCGAAUAAGAUAUUCUCUAACAAAGUCAAGUUCCUUCUAAAGUUGUGGAUCAAUAUGUGAUGCUACCUCUAUAGGCUCCAAAGGCAUAAUUGCUUCUGUAGGAAUGAUCAUGCUAGGAGACUUAACAAUUACCAUAUUUUUCUACUGGUUCCAAAAUAAAAUGUUCCUCAUUACCAUUCUAUCCAACCAAGGCAGAAGAAUCGACAAUAUCAUCGUUGACAUUUGAUAAUGGAAAAUGAAAAGAGGUGCUUGAGUUUGGAGGCUGUUCAAUACGAGUUAAUUAUCUGAGAGGAAACAUGUUCAUAUGAUACAAUCUGACCUUUUGUACUUUGUUGCAAUGAUGGUUCUAUAGGUGUGAUGAUUGUAACAUCUUGAUCUGCACUAGGGACGACAUGUUCUGCAUGAGAUAUAACUGGUAUUAUAUUAGUAAUAUGAGGUACUUCAAAUGCUUUCGAGGGCCCAAUCCCAUUUGGUUAUGUUUUUCGACAUAUUUCUGAGUAGCAGCGCGAUCAACUUUUUCAACAACCUGCUCAGGGUGUAGCCAACGACAAGCCGUAACAUUGUGCUCAAUCAUCUGACAACGUGAACAUUAAUCUUGUAGCCGUUCAUAAACUUCUAAUUUGAAAGCAAUCUCAAACCUGUCGAGAGAUGGUGUAUUUUUUGUUUCUAAACCUACCCUCUAAGUAACCUGAGUGCUUCUCGUGGCCGUUUUCAAAACCUUUUUUCAAUCAAAACCUUUACACAACAUGAUUCUGAGAUCUCUAGUUCGGUCUCGCUUGUAAUAAUAAGAACUAGUUCGUUUGCCAAAAACACAGGCAAACAAAUAUACUUUUUAAGUUUGGUCCCUCCUAAAGGCUCCGUCCCCGAGUAAGAUUUUUUCUACCAUAGGUACGAGAGUUCAAAGGCCAUUUUCGAAGAUCAACAUAAAGCAAUUCAAAGACAAAUAUUAUAAGAGUCAUUCAAGGUUAAAAGUCUCUAACUUCCCAAAGCUGUCAUAUCAAUAGAUUUAAGAGAACUUCAACACCCAAGACUCGAAUAGAUGAAGAGACUUGCAAGAGAAAUUUUCAAGAUGGUUAAAGGACACUUGAGAUCCACGCAUUUUAGAAGUUUGUUUAUUUCUUUUUAUUGAAUAGUAGAAUCAAACAUCAUGCAAAUUAAUUUAUUUUCGUUCUGUAAAAUAAACCUACUAGAUAAACACAUCCGUCCUUACAAGAUAACAUAUGUUACUGGCUGCUUGAAUUGAACAAUAUUUUUUUUUUUUUUGACAAGAAAUUGAACAAUAUAUGUAACUCUACACUGUUUUAUAUAAUACCAUUUUCUUUUAUCUUUAUUUCUUGUUUUGUGUAGUUUUACAUUUACAUUUUAUUCUAUUUUACUUUGUCCACCAAUAGUCACAAUUGACAAUUGAUUCCUCAGAAAACUAGUACAUUAAUUAGCUUAAAAUAGAAACAACUUUUUUUUCUUUUUCUUCUUUUUGGUUAGCUUAAAAUUCUUAUUGUCUGAUGAGUUCUCUAAAUGUGAAAGCAUAUCAGGUGACAAGCGAAGCAAACGAAGACUUCUCUCCAUUUUAAGUUCUGUGAUACGUUUAACAGUUGCUUUAUAGUUGUUCAAAUCUAUAAGUUUAGUUGUGCUUUCAUGGAACUGAAAUUGGAGCUUCGCAAGUUCCUCAUACUUACCAAUCUGUUGAUCUAGGUCUCCAACAUAUACUCCAUUGAUCUUGUUUAAUACAUCCACAGCAAUUUCCUCAACCAAUGCCAAUUCUGUUCUGUACACAAACAUCAAGCAUAAUACAACACAUGUAAAGAUCUCAAAUUUCACAACGGAACAAACCAAUCAUAAAACAAUUCUAAGUUGCCAAAAUGAUAAAGACAGUUAGCUGAAUGAGAGGUUGACACCACACUAGGUAUAUGAGUCAUGUCCCUUAUAAAGUGUUCAACAUUCAGUUUUCUAUCUCCCCCUCAAUCAACCAGAAGUUUUCUAUCCCGUUGUACUUGUACCUUUGUUGCCGAUCUGAACGGGUCACGCCACCUGAACACCCUUGGUCUAUAAGACUUUCGACACAAAGAGCAGGUCGAUCAUCACAUCGGAACUUGAACAAGGGUCCAGGCAAUCAUCACAUCGGAACUUGAAUAAUCAUUCAAGUGUGUAUGGUUGUCAAACUCACGAGUAUACUCGCACAAGUUACGAGUCUAGAAGGCACAACUAAGUGGAAUCGCGCAUAGAAUAUUUUUUGAGCUAGACUCGUGUAGACUCGCAUAGACUCGUGAGUUUAUGAUGAGUUUACAAGUCUAUGAGUUUUUUUGAAAAAACAAUUUGUUUUUGAAAAAAAGCUCAAACUAAACAAAAAUUUAAAGGAAAAAAACUUACUUAGAAUCCUCUUAAUUUCUUUUUCGGUCUCACUCUCAAUUUAGAAACAAAUCUCUCACUCUCACCAAAAAUAGAAGAAUUCAGGUCAUACUCACCUACGUUGACGACAAUUUUUUCUUUCUUCAUCGACGAUGACAUUCUUUUGUUGUGUAUCGAAAUAUUGUGGAAAUUGAUGUUGCUAAUAAUACUACUAGAAAAAGCAAAAUUUGGGAGGAAAUUAGUGUCGAAAAAAAUAAAAUCCUUCAAAAAUUCGUUGGUCGCAAAAGUUUAGUGACAGAAUUAGAGAGCGAUUCCACUUUUUUCCUCUCUAAAUUUCCGUCACUAAUUUUUAUUUUUUUUAUAAUAUAAUGAUGCUCAAAGUGGUGGUAGAGGCAAUGUUGAAUUAGGUGGAAGUUAAAAUAAUCCAAAUUAGAUUAUGGUUAAUGGUGAAUAAGAUGUUUUGUCUGGGGCUGAGUUUGAUAUGAUAGUUAGGUUGUUGGUGAAGAUGAUGGUGAUGGUGGUCAUUUUGAUGAUGAACAAAAUUUUAAAUAGACUUUUAUGAUUUUUGGGUGUAUAUAGUAGCCAAUUAGAAAGAAAUUAGGACCUUAUCUACAUUGCUUGCUCUAAUAUGUUUUUUUUAAAGUUUGUUAUUACAUUCGAAAUUUUAUUUUUUUAUGUUAAUUGGUGUUCUAUUAUAAAUAUAUAUAUCAUUUAUGUGUCACUUUCAUAUUUUUUAAAGUCAACUUUAAUUUUCCAUAGACUCAUACGAGUCUACAAAUCGAGUUUACCUGUCGAGUUUAUAUAUCAUUUUUGAGUCUAUGUAAACUCGCGAAUCUGACAACUUUACAAGUGAGUUUAAACAAUCGGGCCUUGACCAAAAUCAAACAAACUAGUGAAUUGGUUAGUUCCAUGUUCAACAUUGGAUUGGUCGGUUCAUCGGAUUAUUAGAAUAUUGUUUUUUUUUUUA
rnacentral:lncRNA from 1 species